AUUGAACGCUGGCGGCAGGCCUAACACAUGCAAGUCGAACGAGUGGCGGACGGGUGAGUAAUGUCUGGGAAACUGCCUGAUGGAGGGGGAUAACUACUGGAAACGGUCGCUAAUACCGCAUACCCUCAGAUGUGCCCAGCUGGGAUUGGCUGGUUGGGGGGGUAACGGCUCACCAAGGCGACGAUCCCUGGCUGGUCUGAGAGGAUGACCGGCAACACGGGAACGGGGACACGGUCCAGCCUCCUACGGGAGGAGGCAGUGGGGAAUAUUGCACAAUGGGCGCAAGCCUGAUGCAGCCAUGCGGCGUGUAUGAAGAAGGCCUUCGGGUUGUAAAGUACUUUCAGCGGGGAGGCGGUACCCGCAGAAGAAGCACCGGCUAACUCCGUGCCAGCAGCCGCGGUAAUUC
rnacentral:rRNA from 1 species